CAGUCGCCACGGGAAUACGUAGGUGGCAAGCGUUGUCCGGAAUUAUUGGGCGUAAAGGGCUCGCAGGCGGUUUCUUAAGUCUGAUGUGAAAGCCCCCGGCUCAACCGGGGAGGGUCAUUGGAAACUGGGAAACUUGAGUGCAGAAGAGGAGAGUGGAAUUCCACGCGUAGCGGUGAAAUGCGUAGAGAUGUGGAGGAACACCAGUGGCGAAGGCGACUCUCUGGUCUGUAACUGACGCUGAGGAGCGAAAGCGUGGGGAGCGAACAGGAUUAGAUACCCGCGUAGUCCCUGUCUCUUAUAC
rnacentral:rRNA from 1 species